rnacentral:misc_RNA from 1 species
GCCACUUUUUUUUUAAAUUGACAGUUAGGUUGAACGAUGUCCAGCAAUGAACUUGCUGGAUUUCUUGUAGAUUUCGGUUGGGGAAAGGGCAAAAUGUUUUUAUGAAAAGUACUGAAUAGAUUCAAAUUGUUUUCCGACGAGCUAAAUCUUUUUCGAAGAAAUCGAAGGAGACGUUUCAUUUGGCUGUUUUCUUGGUGUUCGUUUACUUCCCAUCGUCUUGGGAUCGGUUCGUAACUCGUCGCUACCAAAAAGAAGAGGAAAUAAAUAGGUGUAAUGCACGAAUCUUCGCUCGUUACUAGUGACGUAUUUCUGUUUUGGUUACAGAAAAAAUGUCGACAGAAGUUUUAUCUUACUCUGUUGAUAACCCACGAUUGUUUGCGUCCGAGAAGACACAGAGGUGAAGAUUGUGUUGUCAUUUCAGCCGUACGACAAAAUGAAUGCAAGCAUUUGGAAUUCUCGUCCACACAGGCAGAAUUAACAGUCUUGAUUAAAGGAGAAAAUCUCGUUAACGAUUUCACCAGAAAGAAAAAAAACAGAAGGAAGAUUUUAACGAAGCGGAAGAGGAGACUUCUCAGGUAACAUUUGAUGAUGUAUGGAAUUCUUCUCGUUCUCGUGGACUGUGGUAACAAGUAUUCUGGUAUUUUCUGUGUCUUCUUGUCUGAACUUUAUUAAAUUAAUUCACUACCCGUCAAUCAAAAACAUUCCUGUUAACUAAGUGAAGAAUAGUUUCCAGGAAAGCACAAGAAUAGUUGAUGGAUGUGUUGGACUUCUGUCGUUAACGGAACACUAAAAUUGAAGCCAGUGUUGUAAAAUCGUUACAAGAAUAUAUCAACAAGGA